CCUACGGGAGGCUGCAGUCGAGAAUCAUUCACAAUGGGGGAAACCCUGAUGGUGCGACGCCGCGUUGGGUAAUGAAGGUCUUCGGAUUGUAAACCCCUGUCAUGUGUGAGCAAAUUAAAAAGAUAGUACCACAAGAGGAAGAGACGGCUAACUCUGUGCCAUCAGCCGCGGGAAUACCGAGGUCUCAAGCGUUGUUCGGAAUCACUGGGCGUAAAGCGUGCGUAGGCUGUUUCGUAAGUCGUGGGUGAAAGGCGCGGGCUCAACCCGCGGACGGCACAUGAUACUGCGAGACUAGAGUAAUGGAGGGGGAACCGGAAGUCUCGGUGUAGCAGUGAAAUGCGUAGAUAUCGAGAGGAACACUCGUGGCGAAGGCGGGUUCCUGGACAUUAACUGACGCUGAGGCACGAAGGCCAGGGGAGCGAAAGGGAUUAGAUACCCUAGUAGUC
rnacentral:rRNA from 1 species